rnacentral:lncRNA from 1 species
ACUGGUUUCUUGUUAAAUCUCUUCCCCAAUUAAGAUACCCAAUCCUUGACUUAAUUACCCCCGUUUCAGGGGCUGGAGAGAUGGCUUAGCAGUUAAGAGUGCAUUCUGCCCUUGCAGAGAAUCUGAUGCAUGGUUCCCAGUACCCAUGGUGGGUAGUUCACAGCUACCUGCAAUUUCCGGGCAAUUUCUAGUCUUCUUAGGGGACUUCACUCAGGUGCACCCCUUGCAUAUUAUAAUGUAAUAAAACUCUUAAACAGAAUUAACCCCAUUGCGGAAGAAGGUAGCCUAUUAGCAGUGAUUCUUACAUUUUGGAAUUACGUUGAGUAGUUGGCUAAAGGCACAGAUUUUUCUGGCUACAUUCAACUAUUUUGACUUCUCAGCUCUAGAGAGAUCUUAGGGAUUCUAAUGCCAUGUUCUGAGAACCACUCUCAGAGAGAGAACCAAAGAGAAUUUGACUCACUUUCAGACUGCUGACAUGUAGUAUGUACCACACUUGCCACAACUCUCAGGACUUGCUGCUUGGCUAACGAGACCCAGGGAUUCCAUUAUGACUUUGAAGGAGGUCUGUUAAAAGCCGGAAUGUCUACCAUCAGUAUACUACUAUCCAAACUCCACUUCUGUCUCUGGGCCUGGUGUGCUUCUGAAGGCUGGUGACCUUUGUUGUCUAUACUUAAUCCAUUCUCACAGCUUCUUGGUGAAUGUUAGUGGGGUUUGGGGUUUUGUUUUGAUUUGUGUGACUGUUUAGCUUCCUCUGGGCUGAUUUCAUAUCAGAAAUUAUAAGCAUGGUGGAAGUAGUAGUGGAAUCUACAGAGUGCUGGGUCUACACAUAGGCCAUUUAUGGUGAAUGAGGUGGUUUGAAUAUGCUUUGUCGAGGGAGUGGCACUAUUAGGAAGCAUGGCCUUGUUGGAGUAGGUGUGGCCUUGUUGGAGUGGGUGUGGCCUUAUUGGAGGAAGUGUUUCACUGUGGGGGUGGGUUUUGAGACCCUGCUCAUAGCUGCCUGGAGUCAGUCUUCUAGCAGCCUUCAGAUGAAGCUGUCCCUGCACCAUGCUUGCCUGGACACUGCCAUGCUUCCUGCCAUUAAUAAUAAUGGACUGAACUUCAGACCCUGUAAGCCAGCCCCAAUUAAAUGUUGUCCUUUAUAAGAAUUGCCUUGGUCAUGGUGUCUGUUUACAGAAAUGGAAACCCUAAGACAAUAAUUGGUUCGCUAUGAUGUUUCUAAGAUAGAGUGGCUUCCAUUUGAUCUGUGUAGACAUCUCAAAUCUACGAUCAAAACGGAUUUGAUUCCCUCAGUGAAAUUUCUGGAUGGUAAGAGAUUGAGUAUCAGUGCCCCCUGUAGUCCUUCUAAGAAGACCCCAGCUAAGUUUGGGUCAUAACCAAAGUAGGCUUAUUAACAAAACAGCGGCAUCAGGAUGGAAACUGGUCAGACAGUUCCCCCACCCCAUCAGUGUAUGGAAGAAGCUGACAGAACAUGCUGGGUAUCAGCUACGGCAACAGAUUGCUCGUAAGGCUAGCUGAGCGUGUGCACGUGUGAGAGAAAGACACACACACACAUGUAGAAGAUUCUUACUUCAAAUAUCGUUCUCUCUGGGUCUCUCCCAAGAACGUGUUUUCCUCUUUUAAAUCAGUUCCCCCUCCCCCUUUCUCCUACAAAACAGUCAAUGUUAGAUUGAGUGAAU